AUAGCUUUGAGACCGUCGGUCUACCGAGCAACACCCGCUCGGUGGAAAAUCUUCCCUUCGCCGU
rnacentral:pre_miRNA from 1 species